rnacentral:rRNA from 1 species
CGAAGAUGACGAGGUCGAUAGGUCCGAGGUGGAAGCGUGGCGACACGUGGAGCUGACGGAUACUAAUCGAUCGAGGGCUUAACCUA